AGUGAACGCUGGCGGUAGGCCUAACACAUGCAAGUCGAACGGCAGCACAGCGGAGCUUGCUCCUUGGGUGGCGAGUGGCGGACGGGUGAGGAAUACAUCGGAAUUUACUCUGUCGUGGGGGAUAACGUAGGGAAACUUACGCUAAUACCGCAUACGACCUACGGGUGAAAGCAGGGGAUCUUCGGACCUUGCGUGAUUGAAUGAGCCGAUGUCGGAUUAGCUAGUUGGCGGGGUAAAGGCCCACCAAGGCGACGAUCCGUAGCUGGUCUGAGAGGAUGAUCAGCCACACUGGAACUGAGACACGGUCCAGACUCCUACGGGAGGCAGCAGUGGGGAAUAUUGGACAAUGGGCGCAAGCCUGAUCCAGCCAUACCGCGUGGGUGAAGAAGGCCUUCGGGUUAUAAAGCCCUUUUGUUGGGAAAGAAAUCCAUCUGGUUAAUACCCGGGUGGGAUGACGGUACCCAAAGAAUAAGCACCGGCUAACUUCGUGCCAGCCGCCGCCGUAA
rnacentral:rRNA from 1 species